ACCUGUGGUGCUGGAUGUAUUUCGGGUUGUAAUCAAGUCGAAGGGAGUUGUUCUUGUAAAUUUGGAUGGCAGGGGAACAAUUGUGAUGUAUGCAGUCCAACCCAUUAUGGACCCCUAUGUGAUCAGUUAUGUAGUCCAGUAUGUUUAAACGGAACUUGUUUUUCAAACAAUGGAUCGUGUAAGGAAGGCUGCAAUACGAACCUUUGUGAUGUCCAACGUAUUGAAGAAUUGAACCAGGCAUCAAAGAAGAGCAUUUCAUAUUCAGGUUUUUACGGGGUUAUUGCAGUUCUGCUGAUAAGUGUGAUUCUUAACAUAUAUUUCAUAACCCGG